AUAUAUCAUACGCUCACGGCAUCGCGAGCAAAGCUGUCCGAUAAUUGAAAAGAUUAUGUGGAUAUUUGGUCAAAUAUACACCCACGUUGGAAAUGUUCUCAUAAAAAACACAAAAGCUUUUGGCGAGAGUGAUAUACGUAAAUAUGAUGUAGUGUAUUAAUGAUUCAGCAUGGAAUGGUCAGAUUUACUCUAUUUUAUUUAUUUCACUCUAUUGAGCAUGCAGAAUGUAGAUUUUAACAGAAAAUUUAACAUCAACAAACCUUCCAGUUUAAUGUUAUCUCAAGUCAGGAUAUACUUACUAAAACUUCAGUUAUCAAUAUUGAAGAUAAAAUUUUGACGUUUAAUUGUUUUCAGAACCACGUUGCAAUAGGGCGGUCUGUUGCCAUGUUUCAAGAAAUGAUCGGAGAGAAUGUUGAUACCUACACUUUACAUCAAGCAUACCUACAUUUCGAGGUGCCCUGUAGAGCAGAAGAUGACAAAAUAGCCUCACCUGAGCUACACGAAGAGCUCCCACAGUUUUCGUCAGAAGACUUACAAGUGUCCAGGAUUAUUCCAUUUGCGGACGAGGAACUCAACAAUGAGGAGCAGGAUUCCAACAUGUUUAUUUGUCUAUCUGAUGUCAUUUCACAGGUAUGGAUAAGGGAG